GAUGAACGCUAGCGGCAGGCUUAAUACAUGCAAGUCGUACGGGAUCCGAGGUAGCAAUACUUUGGUGAGAGUGGCGCACGGGUGCGUAACACGUAUGCAACCUACCUAUAACCGGGACACAACCUCGAGAAAUUGUGGCUAAUAUCCCAUAACACUGCGAAAUGGCAUCAUUUUGCAGUUAAAACUCCGGUGGUUAUAGAUGGGCAUGCGCGACAUUAGCUAGUUGGUGAGGUAACGGCCCACCAAGGCUACGAUGUCUAGGGGUUCUGAGAGGAUUAUCCCCCACACUGGUACUGAGACACGGACCAGACUCCUACGGGAGGCAGCAGUAAGGAAUAUUGGUCAAUGGGCGCAAGCCUGAACCAGCCAUGCCGCGUGAAGGAUGACGGCCCUAUGGGUUGUAAACUUCUUUUGUACGGGAAAAAACCACCGGUCGUGUAUCGGUGCUGAUGGUACCGUAAGAAUAAGCAUCGGCUAACUCCGUGCCAGCCGCCGCUGUAA
rnacentral:rRNA from 1 species